AACGAACGCUGGCGGCAGGCCUAACACAUGCAAGUCGAACGCCCUCUUCGGAGGGAGUGGCAGACGGGUGAGUAACGCGUGGGAACCUACCUAGUAGUACGGAACAACACAGAGAAAUUUGUGCUAAAUACCGUAUACGCCCUACGGGGGAAAGAUUUAUCGCUAUUAGAUGGGCCCGCGUUGGAUUAGCUAGUUGGUGAGGUAACGGCUCACCAAGGCGACGAUCCAUAGCUGGUCUGAGAGGAUGAUCAGCCACACUGGGACUGAGACACGGCCCAGACUCCUACGGGAGGCAGCAGUGGGGAAUAUUGGACAAUGGCGCAAGCCUGAAUCCAGCCAUGCCGCGUGAGUGAUGACGGCCCUAGGGUUGUAAAGCUCUUUCAACGGUGAAGUAAUGACGUAGCCGUAGAAGAAGCCCCGGUAACUCGUGCCAGCCG
rnacentral:rRNA from 1 species